UCCUACAGAGGUACAUAAUGAAACAGGUAAUUGACAGAAUUUUUGGAGCUUUGCAAUCAUCCAUCCUUUGGCCUUUGAUUUGACAGGUGCUUUGGUUUAUUUUGAUGGAUUCAAGUUGGAGUUUACGAGUACUGGGCCAAGGAACCUAGAGAUGGUUGAAAAAAGAGAAAAACAUGAAAUGAGACAGUGUAGUCCACAGCUCUCAUUGAGGAAACCUCUUUGUAUUGGAUGGAGACCAUGACACAAAAAUCACAACCAACCAAAAUGCAGAG